GUUCACACCCUAGUACGGUGAAACCGCGAAUGGCUCAUUAAAUCAGCUAUGGUUCCUUAGAUNUUACAUCCUUACUUGGAUAACUGUAGUAAUUCUAGAGCUAAUACACGAUACAAAACCCUGACCUUACGGGAAGGGUGGAUUUAUUAGAACAAAACCAACCGACUUCGGUCGUUGGCUUGAUGACUCUGGAUAACUUUCCUGAUCGCAUGGCCCCGCGCCAGCGACGUAUCUUUCAAAUGUCUGCCCUAUCAACUAUCGAUGGUAGGUGAUAUGCCUACCAUGGUUAUAACGGGUAACGGGGAAUCAGGGUUCGMMCCCGGAGAGGGAGCCUUAGAAAUGGCUACCACAUCUAAGGAAGGCAGCAGGCACGCAAAUUACNCACUCUCAGCUCGAGGAGGUAGUGACGAAAAAU
rnacentral:rRNA from 1 species